rnacentral:rRNA from 1 species
GAUCCUGGCUCAGGAUGAACGCUAGCGACAGGCUUAACACAUGCAAGUCGAGGGGCAUCAGGGUGUAGCAAUACACCGCUGGCGACCGGCGCACGGGUGAGUAACACGUAUCCAACCUGCCCUUUACUCGGGGAUAGCCUUUCGAAAGAAAGAUUAAUACCCGAUGGUGUAACAUGACCUCCUGGUUUUGUUAUUAAAGAAUUUCGGUAGAGGAUGGGGAUGCGUUCCAUUAGGCAGUUGGCGGGGUAACGGCCC